rnacentral:rRNA from 1 species
GGUUGAUCCUGCCAGUAGUCAUAUGCUUGUCUCAAAGAUUAAGCCAUGCAUGUCUCAGUGUAAACUUUUAAACAGUGAAACUGCGAAUGGCUCAUUAAAACAGUUAUAGUUUAUUUGAUACUCAUAAUUACAUGGAUAACCGUGGGAAUUCUAGGGCUAAUACAUGCGUAAACCCUUCGGGGAUGUGUUUAUUAGAAUAAAACCAUCGCAGUCGCAAGGCUGUUCCAAUGGAAUAAUAAUAACCGAACGAAUCGCACGCUUUAUGUGGCGAUAAAUCAUUCAAGUUUCUGAC